AGAGUUUGAUCCUGGCUCAGGAUGAACGCUAGCGGCAGGCUUAACACAUGCAAGUCGAGGGGCAGCAUGUCCAGCAAUGGAUGAUGGCGACCGGCGGAAGGGUGCGUAACGCGUGAGCAACAUGCCCUAUACAGGGAGAUACACCAGGGAAACUUGGUCUAAUAUCCCAUAGCAUUCAUUGAAGGCAUCUUUAAUGAAUUAAAGCUUCGGUGGUAUAGGAUUGGCUCGCGUGACAUUAGCCAGAUGGUGAGGUAACGGCUCACCAUAGCAAUGAUGUCUAGGGGUUUUGAGAGGAAGGCCCCCCACACUGGGACUGAGACACGGUCCAAACUCCUACGGGAGGCAGCAGUGAGGAAUAUUGGACAAUGGAUGGAAAUCUGAUCCAGCCAUGCCGCGUGCAGGAAGACGGCCUUAUGGGUUGUAAACUGCUUUUAUACGGGAGCAAUAAGGGUUACGAGUAAUCCGAUGAGAGUACUGUAUGAAUAAGGAUCGGCUAACUCCGUGCCAGCAGCCGCGGUAAUACGGAGGAUCCGAGCGUUAUCCGGAUUUAUUGGGUUUAAAGGGUGCGUAGGCGGAAAUGUAAGUCAGUGGUGAAAUCCUGCAGCUUAACUGUAGAAUAGCUGUUGAAACUGUGUUUCUUGAGUACAUUUGAGGUAGGCGGAAUGUGGUGUGUAGCGGUGAAAUGCCUAGAUAUCUGGAGGAACACCAAUGGCGAAGGCAGCCAUCUGGAUCAGUACUGACGCUGAGGCGCGAAGGUGCGGGGAGCAAACAGGUUUAGAUACCCUGGUAGUCCGCACAGUAAACGAUGUGCACUAGGUGUCGGGCAGUCAAUGUUCGGUACCGCAGCAAACGCGUUAAGUGCACCGCCUGGGGAGUAUGCCCGCAAGGGUGAAACUCAAAGGAAUUGACGGGGGCCUGCACAAGCGGUGGAGCAUGUGGUUUAAUUCGAUGAUACGCGAGAAACCUUACCAGGACUUGACAUGGACAGGAAUGGUCGUGAAAGCGAUCAGCUUUUCGGAGUCUGUUCACAGGUGCUGCAUGGCUGUCGUCAGCUCGUGCUGUGAAGUGUUGGGUUAAGUCCCGCAACGAGCGCAACCCCUGCUGUCUGUUGCUACCAAGUGAAGUUGGGCACUCAGACGGGACCGCCGGUGACAAACCGGAGGAAGGUGGGGACGACGUCAAGUCAUCAUGGCCCUUAUGUCCUGGGCUACACACGUGCUACAAUGGCCGGUACAGAGCGCAGCGAAGCCGAGAGGCCAAGCGAAUCGCAAAAAGCCGGUCCCAGUACGGAUUGGAGUCUGCAACUCGACUCCAUGAAGUUGGAAUCGCUAGUAAUCGCGCAUCAGCAUGGCGCGAUGAAUCCGUUCCCAGGCCUUGUACACACCGCCCGUCAAG
rnacentral:rRNA from 1 species